CAUCUUUUUAAAUCUGGAACUAGAAUGAAAGUCAGAAAAAAAACAAAUAAAAGUUAUUUAACAAGUUAUUUAUAUUAAAUUGUUUAUUAAUUGAUUUUAUUGUUGUAAAAAUAAUUGUGUGUGUGUGUGUGUCAAGCUGUGUAAUGUAAUUGUUGCUAUUUUAUAUGAAAAAAAGAGAGGCGUAAACACACCGGUAGUACCAGGAACUACAAACCAUUUACAAAUAAAUGGUUUAACUGCAGAUUAAUGGCACAUCGGUUACACUUGUAUAAAAAGAAUAUUCUCCUCUUACGGUUAUUAAUUGAGAAAACCUGUUGGGAACAGGUGGAUGGUAAAAAGUCUGUUUUGUUCCAAAAUGGCGUCCUGGCAACUAUUAUACAUCAGGAAUAACAAUCCUUAAGGUCUAAAUUUGUACACAGAAUGAAAAAUCUAUUUCAAAUUUUACCGAGGACAUUGGCAUGAAUUCUAUUUUUUAUUUCUGUGAUUUUUUUUUUUUUUUGCUCUGUGAUAUUUCUUGAUUUUUGUUUUGUUUCAUUUACUAAAUGAAAAGGCACAAUAGCACACACAAAUGUGAAUAUCCUGCGAGACUAUCAGACUAUUGAUUGGCUCCUUGCUAUAUAGAUGGGCAAGUCGGCA